AAAGAAAAUUUUCUGAAAGGAAACAUCACAAAUAUGUCACUAAAGAGUUUAAGAUGUCAAGUGUUGAUCAAAAGUUGUCAUAGGCAUCCGUAAAGGCCAUGAAAGCUCGAUCAUUGUGGCAUYCAAAAGUCAUGGCUAGAAGCAAAAGAAAAUUAUGAAAAUUUACCAGAAAAUAGCUUCAACCAUCCUUAUGAAGCAUGCAAAAAAUCAGAUUCAAAUUCGAAGUAUUUUUUUUUUUACAUUAAAAAUACUCACGGAACACAAUCAAUGUCUACUGCUGAAAGUCUGAAAAAAAGCCAUUUGUCUAUAUAAGGGGUAGGCACUCUUCAGUGCCUAACCCCCCAWGGUUGGGCGUCCGUAUGGGUGUGGGCAAUGUCCGAGUGCCUAGUGCACGACGACUGUCCAUAYGUACGUCCAACCUCCGGGCUGUCUCCGGUGACUUUUCCGGCGACUUUCCGGCGACCGCCAAAAUGACCGUUUUGCCCCUGAUUUUUUUUUNCGCGCUUGUGCGGUCUUGGCCUGGUUUCGUUUGUCUUCCUGUUGCUCUACUGAUUUUCAUCAGACGAGUGGCAGGAAAGAUCGACGUUAGCGGGGCAAAUGAACGUUCGGCGUAUGAGUGGUGAUUGGAUAGCCAGUGUUUGUAGGCUCCGUGCUCGCGCACCCAACUACAGACCAACUGUCCUUCUCAGUUUCUUCACAAGCAUAGAUAUGCUUGCUGACUUGAUCCUGGGCCUGUGUUGCGUACCUAUCCAGAAGGAAUUGUUGAGCCUUGCUCGAUAUUUUGUUUGCGGUAUCUCCUUCAUCGGAGAUGUCGUGAACACAAAAGCCGGCACUUGUGAUCCUUUCGGCUAUUGCAUAAAUUAUGCAUUGCUCGCAAAGGUGAACAAGCUGUCAGCUGAAAUCUCGGUUGCGGAAAUAUUAUGGACGGUGACUCGAAGUAAUUCGGUCCCGCCAAGCAUAAUUGUCUCCGGACAAAAGAUGACGGCCAAGACCAUUUCUGUUCCUGCUUUCCUAGCGUAUGCGGGAAUCCUGCUUUCCUAGUGUUCGCGGGAAUCCUUCAUUCCUAGCGCUUGCGGGAAUACGAUUCGGUCUUGCYGUGAUUUAUGAAUGC
rnacentral:misc_RNA from 1 species